GGGUUUCGCCCUGCUAACACUGAAGUGAGGACUGGUGUGGGCUGGCCAGCAGACAGUAAGAGCUUUCUCUCCUGGGCUGGAAGGUGCUGGUUCAUCCUCUAAAUCUGUUGAUGAAGUGCUGGAGUCUGUGGGAGACUACACAAGAACAUGAGAUUUUGCUGUGGAGCGUCUGUCCAAGGCCAAACUGAGUGUGACGACAAGGCUGCCGGGUCCUGUGAUGUGUGCUACCUGGGAUUUCCUUUACAGAUGGUGCUGCUUGAUCAUGAAACUCCAUUUGGAAAUGUGUUAUUUGUUGUUAAGAACUGCUGUUAAUCACCACAGGUCUGCCAUGGAUUACUGUGAUGUCACUAUUUUGGUGUGAGCGCCAUCUUUUGGCCAACUUGGACUACUUCAAUUCUUCCUUCAGUCCAUGAGGAGGAACCACAGAGACAUGAGCUGCAUCUCAUUUCCCGAUUUUUUUUUUGCCUCCUCGAUCUUCCAGCUGUGACCCGGAAAUCGAUCUCAGCGCUCCAUCUUGAAGGACGUCCCAAUUCCUAAAAUGCAUCUCGAGGAGCGAGGAUCGAGGAGGCUUGCCGGAGGAGCCAUGAGCGAGGAUACACCAGUGUAUCCUCCAGUGUAUCAAUUCAAUUCAAUUCAUCUUUAUUGACAGACUUGAAGUCCAUUAUAAAACAUACAACACAAACAACAAUACAUACAUUAAAAUAGAAACUGCCACUUUUUACAAAAGACAGUUAUACCAGUGAGUCUUGUGAAGGGCUCAUUGCAUGGGUGGAAAAAAGUACAAAAUGCAAGUCUCCAUCAAAAAUAAUCCAAGGCACACUGUAGUGUUUGAACAAAAUUAAAAGGCCUUUAUUUUACAUGGCAAUAAUUGCUUAAAAUGACCAACGCGUUGCGACCAACAUAUAGGUCUUCAUCAGGGUCACUGUGAGCAUUCAGCAGUAGCUUGCACACCUAUAUUUUGUUAUACUAAUCAGUAGAGUUGGAGGGUGGUUCUCUGUCAAUGAGCAAGCCUAUUGGUGGAAAAACAAGGAAAUGACACAUCACCAAUAGGGAGGAGAAAGAGAAGAAAAAAGGAAAAAGGGGAAAGAAGAAGGGAAGGGAGGGGAAUUAAAAGGAAGUGAAGGAAAGAGGAGAUGAGAGGUAAAAAUAAAUGACUAAACUAAAAACAAAUAUGAUAUGAGACAAUGUGACUACUAAGUCAAGGUGGACCCAAUACUUUCUUAUGUAGGUCUACACAUGAUGAGUUCCUCAAUAUAUAACUAUAGUCUCAUCCACAUUUUUCUGCCUACAAACACACAUUGACUACAAAAUGACCUUACCCUUAAAUAGUUCAAUAUAUUCAAAUACAAUUUUUAUACAGUGUUAUUCCUGAAGUGAUAAUUCACAGAAAAGGAGAAAAGUCUAUCUCCUCAUUGAGGCCGGGGUAUUUUGUUGCUUUUAGUUGUACAAUCCAAAAGUCAUACCAAUGUUUCCACAGGGAUGACUGGUAUCGUAUAACACUAAAACUAGGAUUUGACAGUAGCAUGAUAAUGGCGUUCUGAGAAUCAUUUAGCCGACAUAUCAAUUUAUACAUCAGGUUUCUCAACAGAGCCUGCAAAGUGUUGACACCUGCAUUACAGAACAGCUCGCUUGCACUACACCACCUGGGUUUCUUAAGUAAUAUCCGCAUGCAGUCAUUGAAGGCAACCUGAAGCUGAUGCAUGCUUGCCUUUUUAAACUUGGCCCACAGGGGGGCAGUACAGAGGAGAGUGCAAUAGGCUCCA